ACGGGUGAGUAACGCGUAGGAAUCUGCCUGGUAGUGGGGGACAACAUGUGGAAACGCAUGCUAAUACCGCAUACGCCCUACGGGGGAAAGGAGGGGAUCUUCGGACCUUUCGCUAUCAAAUGAGCCUGCGUGAGAUUAGCUAGUUGGGGGGGUAAAGGCUCACCAAGGCAACAAUCUCUACCUGGUCUGAAAGGAUGAUCACCCACACUGGGACUGAAACACGGCCCAAACUCCUACGGGAGGCAGCAGUGGGGAAUAUUGGACAAUGGGCGCAAGCCUGAUCCACCCAUGCCGCGUGUGUGAAAAAGGCCUUCGGGUUGUAAAGCACUUUCAAAGGUGAGGAAGGGUGCGUAGUUAAUACCUGCGUACUUUGACGUUAACCUCAAAAAAAGCACCGGCUAACUCUGUGCCAGCAGCCGCGGUAAUACAAAGGGUGCGAGCGUUAAUCGGAAUUACUGGGCGUAAAGCGCACGUAGGCGGUUUGUUAAGUCGGAUGUGAAAUCCCAGGGCUCA
rnacentral:rRNA from 1 species